rnacentral:tRNA from 1 species
CGGCGCGUAGAUCAAUGGAUAGAUCAGCCGACUUCGACUCGGCAGGUUGCAGGUUCGAGUCCUGCCGCGCCGGCCA